rnacentral:rRNA from 1 species
CCUACGGGCGGCAGCAGUGAGGAAUAUUGGUCAAUGGGCGGGAGCCUGAACCAGCCAAGUCGCGUGAGGGAAGACGGUCCUAUGGAUUGUAAACCUCUUUAGGCGGGGAGCAAUGCCGGGAACGCGUGCCCGGAUGGAGAGUACCCGCAGAAUAAGCAUCGGCUGACUCCGUGCCAGCAGCCGCGGUAGUACGGGGGAGGCGAGCGUUAUCUGGAUUUAUUGGGGUUAAGGGGUGCGUAGGCGGAUUGUUAAGUCAGCGGUAAAAUGUCCGGGCUAAAGCCAGGCCGGCAGUUGAAACUGGGAGACUUGAGUGGUGGAGGGGGAUGCGGAAUGCGUGGUGUAGCGGUGAAAUGCGUAGAUAUCACGCAGAACUCCGAUUGCGAAGGCAGGAUACUGGCG